rnacentral:rRNA from 1 species
UACGUAGGGUGCAAGCGUUAAUCGGAAUUACUGGGCGUAAAGCGUGCGCAGGCGGUUGUGUAAGUCAGAUGUGAAAUCCCCGGGCUCAACCUGGGAAUGGCAUUGAGACUGCACAGCUAGAGUGUGUCAGAGGGGGGUAGAAUUCCACGUGUAGCAGUGAAAUGCGUAGAGAUGUGGAGGAAUACCGAUGGCGAAGGCAGCCCCCUGGGAUAACACUGACGCCUCAUGCACGAAAGCGUGGGGAGCAAACAGG